rnacentral:lncRNA from 1 species
GUGAGGUGUCCCUUGAGGAGAAGGGAGGGUGGGUGCGCGGAGUCCGCGGCCUGGGGCGCUUCAACCCCUCACUUGGAAGCGCCUCGCGUCCCAGCAGAGCCAGCGGAGCAUCCUACUCAGGUGAUGAGGAACCCUCCGGGCACCCAGCGCAGAUCGCUGCUGCCGCUGGACGCCUCCAUUGUUUGACCAUAACAAGGGCCGGAUUCUCACCCAGGAUCCUGAGGCUCUUGUUGCCCUUCAGCCACUGUGGGCCCUGCCUCUUCCUCUGGAAUGUCUUGGGGGUUUUGACUUCUGUCACUGUGGUAAGUGUUGCCCUUUUUUCACCAUUUCUGUAGAUGGAGAAUCACCCUCAACU